rnacentral:rRNA from 1 species
GCUGUUUCCGGGGAGCGUGGUUUUUUUGCCUGCUUCGCUUCCUCGCUGCUAGGGAGCUAGAUAAGCGCUGCGCUUGUUGCUGCGGCGGCGGUAGCGCCUAGGGUCCGCGAUCGGCGCCUAGGGCAACGGCCACAGCUCCCCAGCACCUCCGCGGCGGCGGCUCCAGGAUUUCCUCCGCGGCGGCAGCUCCAGGAUUUCCUCCGCGGCGACGGUAGCAACACCUGGAGGCCCAGCGGUAGCCCUGUGGAGACGACUCCAUGCGGAAGCGGAAGCGUGCCACUACCCGUACCACCGCCUUCUUCCAGCAGAAGGGUCUCGUGGCGUGCGACCGGCGGCAGAGGUAGGCGCCGGCGUGGUUGUUCUGUCGUUCUUAGUAUGGGGUGGGUGCGCCGCCGUGCUGCGUCUUCCCGAUGUACCCAGAUAUCGCCGCGCGCGUUACCUUCCUGUGGAUACCCUUGUUCGAGUGGCUCCAGAACCUUAAGGUUGGAUCUAUUUGUUCACUUGAGUAAAAUUGUCAAAGGGAAAAAAACACUACGUCCGAUCGAGUAAGUAAUUCCCGAUGAGUCGAGACAAAAAAGGGAGGGAAACCUCUAACCUAAUAUACCAUGAGACACAACUUCCUAGACAAGUACGGUUUAAAUUAUUUAGAACAGUACAAAAGUAUCCAACGGAUAAAAGAGUGAGACGUACCUUACCACUUGCAAACAUCGUACCAGUGAACCAGUCCAAAACUAAUAAAAACAGUGACGUGUAUGGAAGUCUUUUAUUGGGUUACUCCGAUCGAACAAGAAAGAUGAAUAUGUGGAUGCGUACCCUACGAGACAAUCAAAACAACACGUUUAUUAGUAAUAAGGACAACUACUCGUUACUAUUACCGAGGGUUUUGAUGUUGUAAACGACGAAGUCACAUACACAUGGCUUAGCAUUUUCUUAUACUAAUAUAGAAAACGAAACAUCACGUGGACAAGUGCUCUUACUACGACUCUUCCGUUAUCCAGGACGAACGAUCGAAACAGUACCUGUGCGAAGUUUUGACAGAGACAGGUACCCCAAUAACUAAUGACGAACACUACAAAUUCUCACUACGUGUCCUUGUCCUAAUAAAAAUACACUUCCACCUAUCUUUAUUGAAAUGAACUCUUCCUCGAAAGGUAACGUAGACUAAACAUGAGAGUCAUAGUCUGAAGUAAGGACACUUCAUUGUAAACCCGUUUUACCCGUUGUACACAAACCAGUAACGGCACGAAACCAAAAAUCCGAGCACGAUACUAUUGAACUACUGUGGGGAAAUAUCUGUAAUAUCAUAUCUCGUAAGAGUACGUAAUUCAGGUCACGUUCCUUUUAACUAUUUCAGACGAUUGACCUUGUCCUAUCAACUAGGAAAGUUACCUCUCAUGUUUAAAUAACGUUAUUAGAUAUAUACGGCUUGGACAUGUGGAACGUUAUCCAUCUCUACCGAUUUAAAACAUCGAAAAACAAGGGAAAAAAGGGUAGUUUUAAUACCUAAACCUUCGAUAAGUACCUCACAAAGUCAACGGACGAUAUAAUACCUAAACGUUACUCGUGUUCGGACGUUGGAACUUCCUUUUCAACAACGACGACUUCUGUACUGUGACACCCACUCUAGAAAAUAAUACAAUCAUGUCUCAUGUCUGACUAUAAUACAGCGUCGUUGUUACAUAUCUCGAAGUCUCGAGUAAGAAGAGAAGUGUAUUCCAAGCCAAAUCUCAAGUACGAAACACGAAUAAUUUUUUGUUUCUUUUCCUUACUCAACGAACUAUAUAACCGUACAUAUAUCACAUUUUUUUGUACGAAUGUCAAGAUUGUACUUAAAAUGACUUGACUCUCAACACUAUACGUUUACAAAAUACCAGCUUCCAAGACAUGGUAGCCAAUAUAACAUAUUUUUACCAGAGACGAAAGUAGAAGAAACUACUGUAUAAAAGAACAUUUUUAACCUUACGUAAUACGUGGACAAGAAAAGUUCCACCAAGGUAAAAAACAGUUAAAUAUUUGAAAAAUACUUAUCAUUAUAUCUGCGUACAAGAAUUAGAUAAAACCUAAAAACAAGUGGGGCUUUACGUCACAUCUAGACGGUAACUGUAAAAAAACCUCGUGACCAACUUGUAAACGACUCUACAACUAUCCUUUUCGGAAACAAAGGAGUAUUUUACAACGGGUAAUCAAUUUGAAUAACCUAUGUACGUCACCCGUACUACUGGUACAUGUUGAAAAAAGUCAAUCUUAACACAGACGAUAACUAGAUAGAUUGAAUUAUGUUUCUUGAGACGUACAAAACCUUUGUUCUCCAUUACGUUUGUAAAUUAAGACAACACUUGAAGACUAAGUCGGAACCCCGUACCUGCCGCUCUUCACAUCCGUACACGGAUCGCAUGGCCUGGUACUACCUAACUACUCGACUACAGUACACCGCCGACCAAUUGGCCGCCGCCAACCUCGGUAGUAGGUGGUGCUCAAGCGCGAUCCUCGUGUACCCGUUUCCUCUCCUAUACAACCACGACAACCUUAUUCCAAAUAACCCAGCAGGAGGAGGUCGUUGUAUAAUGUGUUACAUGAAUUCGGCUAAAUAAGAGAAACCAUUUUUACCGGGAGUAAACGAACUAUUUUGAAAUGAAAGCAUUUUGAUUAACUCAAUCCUUGGUAUUGUAUAUGAUGAUGUAGAUACAGACCAUAGAUAGACUAAUAUAAUUUGACUGUCAAAUAAGAAGAACGACCUUCCCCACAGCACUUUCUACUAGACCUACGAUAAUUUCAAAAUAUAUACAACGACAGGUACACUCAGUAAAGAUACUUGAUACGAUGAUUAGCAGUGUAUUCCAGUAUACGAUUGAGAACUGGAUACAUGUGAAUUUCCAGGAGAGUGGAACCUAGUAUAGUUAGACGAUAGUUACCGACUCUGACUCGAAACUAAAGAGUGGUGCACGAAUUUAGAUAUAAAAAAUUUGUGGAGUUAGAAGGAACUUAAAAGACUAUGUGGUUCGUCGUAGCGUUCAAUUAACUUCAUUAACCAGAACUUUUGUACAUAAGAAAGGACAGGUGCUUUACAUUACGAAACCCCCUUGGAAGUUAGUUUGAAUUUUUAUUUAAUCAUGACUACAACAAAAAGUAUUUAGUACUUGGUUAUCUACAUGAACAAUCCUAUUGUACCUUCGACUGAAUCGACUGUCCAACCUACCUAUGAGUAAUACCCGUAAAGUUUACUACGGUAACAAACUUUUUUUUUCUUACUCAAGUAGUAAACGAAGUUUAAAAAACGAAACAAAAAUAUAUAACGUAAACUCCUCUGGUGUGCGAGAACUUUGAACUGUGAUAUAUAAGUAAUGAUAUACGUUGUUCAAUAUAAGCAAUAUAAAGAGAGAUACCCCGUAUGAUCUGAAUAAACGUCACUGUCUCCGUCCCCGCUCGACCCCGGGCCCGAUCGUAAAAAGUGUCGUUGUAAUGACCUCGAUGGUUUAUACUACAAGACCUCUUUUAAAUAAAACUACUAACACCUUUUCAAACCUCUGACCGCACACUAUAAUGACUAUUUCGUUUCUGUGUGUAUUAGACCUUUGUAUGUGGUACCUACUACGCGAACGCCGGUACCCCGUCACCUUAGGUUCGUGAACAAUUACGUACUUCUGUUCCCAACCCAACAUGAGGGAGGCAAGGUUUUAUAUUCAGAAAAUUCUCUAAGGUUAUUCCCCGAUGUAUGCCUCGUUUUACUCACUUAAAUGUAAGAUUUUAUACAGAUAUAUGUAGGCAUACAUCAGAAAAUCACUUUAGAAUCUUUCUGAAUAUAAAUCCUUGCCUCCCUCAUCUUUGGUACCUCGAGUCAGUUGAUAGUUAGGUACACUACUACAUAGAAAAUGAGAUGAUAGUUAUGUACACUACUACAUAGAAAAUGGAGGGUAAUCAAAGAACAUUUAGAAAUAGACCCAUAACUUUAAGUAUCAACUAAGAUAUAUAGAAAGGAACGG